CCCCAAAUCACAGAAAUGAAAUCUAAAACCUCCCAAAAGAGUGAAAACCCUACACAAGAGAAGACGAGGCUUUUGGUGUGAUUAUAAAGAAACAGAUAGAGAAAAGAGAAAAAUGGCGAUGUAUCUGAGACGGGCGAUUUCUUCUAGAAAUUCAAUUAUGCUUCUUCGGAGCUGUAAUUGUAUCAUACAAACUCGCAAUAUCUCCCACCAUCUCCUCUCCAACUCUGGAAUUCGCGAAACUCAAAAUUUGCCUUCCUUUGAUUUCCUUAAAGACCAUCGUCGAGGCUUUGCCAAAGGCAAAAAAUCAAAGGAUGAUUAUGCCGGAGAUACGGUUCAAGUUGUACAUGAUAUUGGACCCACUAUUAAGGCAGGUGCUGCCUCGCAGAUGGAAGCAGCAAUAGUCGCAUUGUCUCGUGAAUUAGCCAAAUUACGAACCGGAC
rnacentral:misc_RNA from 1 species